rnacentral:rRNA from 1 species
GGUUUGAUCAUGGCCUGGUGACGGAAAUCGCUUACGGGCGGAUGCCAGACAUGUGUCGAACGGCAGCACGGACUUUCGGUCUGGCAUAUGGCGAACGGUGAGUAAUGUAUCAGAACGUACUAGACGAAUGGGAUAACUACGAAAGCGUAGCCGGUUUACCGCAUACGCUCCUUCGGGGAAAGCGGGGGACCCUUCGGGCCCGCACUAAGAAGGCUGAUAUCGAUUACGCCAGUUGCGGGGUAACGGCUCACCAAGGCGACGAUCCGUAGCUGGUUUGAGAGGACGACCAGCCACACACUGGGACCGAUGAUGACGGAACGACUCCUACGGGAGUGCAGCAGUGGGGAAUUUUGGACAAUGGGGGAAACCCUGAUCCAGCCAUCCCGCGUGUGCGAUGAAGAAGCUCGGGUUGUAAAGCACUUUUGGCAGGAAGAAACGGCACGGGAUAAUACCCGUGCAACUGACGGUACCUGCAGAAUAAGCACCGCUAACUACGCCAGCAGCCGCGGUAAUACGUAGGGUGCAAGCGUUAAUCGGAAUUACUGGGCGUAAAGGGGCAAGCAGGCGGUUCGGAAAGAAAGAUGUGAAAUCCCAGAGCUUAACUUUUGAACUGCAUUUCUAACUACCGAGCUAGAGUGUGUCAGAGGAGGUGGAAUCUCGCGUGUAGCAGAAAUAAAUGUGGUAGAUAAAGGAGGAAGCACCACUCUGAUGGCGAAGGCAGCCUCCUGGGAUAAUGAACGAUGCUCGCACGAAAGCGUAAAGGUAAUGAGAUUGGAGAUGACUCUUGUGGGGAAGUCCAGCUGCCCUAAACGAUGUCAACUAGCUUGUUAGCCUUUGGCUUUGGUAGUGCGAAAGCUAACGCGUGGUUGACCGCCUGGGAGUACGGUCGCAAGAUUAAAACUCAAAGGAAUUGACGGGGACCCGCAUUGCUGGCAGGAUGAUGUGGAUUAAUUCGAUGCAACGAAAACCUUUACCUACCCUGACAUGUGGUCGAAUCCUUGAAGAGAUUUGGGGAGGUCGGAGAAAUCCGGAACACAGGUGCUGCAUGGCUGUCGUCAGCUCGUGUCGUGGAGAUGUUGGGUUAAGUCCCGCAACGAGCGCAACCCUUGUCAUUAGUUGGCAUGAAAGGGCACUUAAUGACUGCCGGUGACAAACCGAGGAAGGUGGGGAUGACGUCAAGUCCUCGGCUUAGCCUUUGGCGUGGAAUACACGUCAUACAAUGGUCGGGGAUGAGGGUCGCCAACCCGCGAGGGGAGCCAUCCCAGAAACUCCGAUCAGUCCGGAUCGCAGGUCUGCAACCGACUCGUGAAGUGCCGAAUCGCUAGUAAUCGCGAUCAUGGCAUAUGGGGUGAAUGAUGUUCUGGCCUCGAAAGGUUCGCCUGGGCUGCAGCCUGCGAGUGGUUUUACCAGAAGAAGGAGUCAAUCCCGGGCGAUGGCUAUCACUAUGGUGAUUCAUGACUGGGGUGAAGUCGUAAUGAAGGAAGUUUAAGACUACCUGAUGUCUUA